rnacentral:rRNA from 1 species
GACGAACGCUGGCGGCGUGCCUAAUACAUGCAAGUCGAGCGCAGGAAGUCAUCCGAACCCUUCGGGGGGACGUUGACGGAAUGAGCGGCGGACGGGUGAGUAACACGUAAAGAACCUGCCCUCAGGUCUGGGAUAACCACGAGAAAUCGGGGCUAAUACCGGAUGGGUCAUCGGACCGCAUGGUCCGAGGAUGAAAGGCGCUCCGGCGUCGCCUGGGGAUGGCUUUGCGGUGCAUUAGCUAGUUGGUGGGGUAAUGGCCCACCAAGGCGACGAUGCAUAGCCGACCUGAGAGGGUGAUCGGCCACACUGGGACUGAGACACGGCCCAGACUCCUACGGGAGGCAGCAGUAGGGAAUCUUCCACAAUGGACGAAAGUCUGAUGGAGCAACGCCGCGUGAACGAUGAAGGCCCUCGGGUCGUAAAGUUCUGUUGUAAGGGAAGAACAAGUGCCGCAGGCAAGGGCGGCACCUUGACGGUACCUUGCGAGAAAGCCACGGCUAACUACGU